AAACAAACAGACUCCAUUUUGAAAAACGAAGAGAGGAGAGGACGAAGAGACAGGGUGAGAGUUUACUCUGUUUUAGUUUUAAUGUCAAACUCUUUAUCUGUUUUAUCCGUUAAUGAAAAAUGAUUUACUGACUAAAACACUUUAAAACUGUAAAACAAAGAAACCUGAGCAGACAAAGAGCUGGAUCAGUUCUUCAUACAGAAACUGUGAACGUGCAGUUCCUCCUCCUCUUUGUUCAGACUUGUCUUUGUGGUAAAAACUAAAAUCAGAAUCUUUUUAGCCUCUCAUUUCAAAUGUAAUCCAGUUCCUUAAGUUUUUAUGAGAGUUCAGGGACCUCACAGCUGAUUUUGUUUAACCAUGAAUCAGACCAGGAUCAGAGAGAGGCCCUGCAGGGUGGGGAGACAUCAGAAGGUCUUGAUAUUAAACCCAUAGACAUAUAUAAGAAAGGUUUAUAUACAUAUAUCUAUGAUUAAACCUGUAUAACUCUUAUAGAGGGGGAUGAAGCUGUUUUCAGACUCUGUACUUCCUUUCUGAUUCCUCUUUUAUUUCGAAACUCUCACUUCCUGUUUGUGUCUCACCUGUUUGUCUACUUUGUCCUCAGGUUGUAGAACUCGGUUUCAUCUUCCAUAAAUUUACACAACAGAAGAUCGAGAAGAUGGUGUCGAGGAAGAGGAGGGCAGACCAAAAGUCUGAUAUGUCCGACUGUCUGUCUAUGAAGAGUGACCGGUCUAAAGAUCUUCCUGUAUUCUUCAGAAAAGAACCAGGACCCUCAGAGGAGGGCAGAGCUAAGUCCGUCAUGUCCGACUGUCUGUCUAUGAAGAGUGACUGGUCCAAAGAUAUUCCUCUACAGUUCAGUAAAGAACCAGGACCCUCAGAUUCACGGUAAGAGAAACACUUUUCACCCUCCAAACUCUCAAACAACAACAGCUGAUGUUUCAAAAUCAGAACUUUAAAUCCUGACCCCUCUGUUUUCUCCUCUGCUCUGAAAACGCUGAUUUUCCUCUUGAACCUCCAACCUGGAUAAAGGUCUGGUGAAGAAAAACUCACUGAGCUCAGAUUUACUUAUUAUUCCUGAUGUUGAUAAAAAUGAAGGUGGUAUAAAACAGCAUUAGAAAAGAAUUCUGACCUCUGUAUUUUCUGAUUUGGUUCCUGUGAUUGGGACGUUUUGAGCCUGUUAGUCUUUGGACUGUGGUGUAUAGACCCCAGAAAACAGUCUGUGGGUCAGAAAAUACCAGAAGACCAAAGAAGAAAUAAAUCCUGAGAAAUAAAAACUCAUUCAGAGCAUCUGUCUGUUAUUAGAGCUUUAGAUCUGAUUGUUAAAAAAUGUUUGAAACUGUCAGAGAAAAUCUCUCGACCUUCAAAAAUCACAGUUGAGUUUAUUCUCCUGUCUCCACACUUUGAGGCAGCAGCAGCUGAAUAUUUUACUGUUUUAUGUUAGAGAAAAGAGAAACUCUGGUUUAAUAAAUGUUUCUUAUUCUGAAUCUUCAAACAUGAAAUAAUAAAGAAAAUAAAUGUUCUUUAUUUCCACAGAGAGACACAGAGAUGUGACUCUGUGGAGGAGCAGCUGUCCAGCUGUUCUUUAUGUCAGGACGUCCUGAAGGAUCCAGUCUCUACCCUCUGUGGACACCGGUUCUGCAGACAGUGCCUCGCCUCAUUCAGGGAGCAGUCGACUUCUUCAGCCUCCUGUCCCCAGUGUGGAAAAAGAACCAGAACAGUUCUUGUCUCUCAGACAGACAGCCUGUCCAGCUCUGAUGGAAGUAAGUCUGAACAUCUGUCCUUUAAACCCUAAAUUACACAAUUUCUGCUUGAAUUAUUCUGUUUAUUUUAACCAUAAAAUUGGCAGAAAAUGUCCUAUGAGUGAGUGUUUUAACACAUUUUUCCACAACACUUGGAACUUUCAUUUCACUUUCAGAUUUUUCAUUUGAAAUCAGAAAUUUGAAGAGUAUCAAACAUAUUUACAACAAAAACUUUGGAGUGCUGUCUCUCAAACUGCAAAAACAGGUUAAAUAAAUACAACUAUGUCCAGGCGUUUCUUCCUCAUUUCUCGUCUCUCACUCAGAGGUCUUUGUGGGUCUGUCAGAAGCUGUUCCUUUCUGUCUGCAGACACAGACACACAUCACACCCCUCACACUUCCAGACAGUUCUCCUUAUGACAAAGUUUGCAGCGUCGUCUCCCCAUGCUGGUUGUUUGAGACUUCAGAUGUCCAUGGUUUGUUGGGACAUGUAGGUGUUUGUCACCUGUAGUUUUCUUUGGGACUUGCUGGAGACAAGUCCCUAAGUCUUUCUCUCUCUCUCUCUCUCUCUCUCUCUCUCUCUCUCUCUCUCUCUCUCUCUCUCUCUCUCUGCAAACAUCCUCAACUUUGAUCACGACACUAAAAAAGUCGCCAUAUAAUUCAGGCGCCAUAUUUCGGAGUCAGGGGUCAACAAAUAACGUAAAUAAACUAAAAACGACACAGAGAGCGCUUCAUUCAUCCAGAAACCCACACAGAAAAUCAGCCGCUCAGUCUUUACCUUUCUCUGUCUGAAGUUGCUCUGAAAACUUCUCCAUCGGUCCCAAAGUCGUCUGUAAACCUCAGUGGAGGUUUUCUCACUCAGGAUGUUUGUAGUUCAGUCAUUUUCCUUUGAAAUAAUCACUUUUUUGUCACUUUUGUUUCUUUUUGUUCCAUUUCUCCGCUCUGUUGUGUGUCUAUCUGCUGCUCCCUUUGAGAGGGGGAGGGGGGACGGAGAGACAGAUUUUCUCUCUAACCAGCAGGAGUGAAAUUACCGUAAUAACUGUUUAUUGGCUGUGUGGUGAAACUUCUCAGCUUUCAGAAACUGUUGGAGUUUUUCUGACAGCACAAACUAUCGCAAAGUUACGGUAAUUUAAAGAGCGCCUGUGUAAAGGUGUCGGCGCCGACAGACUGUGAGGAAAAGUCUGUGUGGAUGAAAACUCAGCUGACUGAUUUUCACAAAGACGUUUCAGUGUUGAGAAGUUUGGUUCAUUUUAUUUUUCUUCUCUUUCAGAAGAUGGUGGUCUGCAGGAGGUUUUAGAUGAACAUAAGAUCAGUCUGAAGAGGAGAUGUGAACGUGUGAAUGAAGGAAGUGAUGAAACAGGAAGUAGUCAAACCCUCCUCAACAGGAUCUUCACUGAGCUCUACAUCACAGAGGGACUGAGUGAAGAGGUGAACACCCAACAUGAGGUGAGACAGCUGGAGACAGCUUCAAAGAUGGAGACCCUCCAUGACGAACCCAUCAGGUGUCAUGAGAUCUUUAAAACCUUACCUGACCAACAGGAGAAGCUCAUCAGAGUGGUUCUGACCAACGGCGUGGCUGGUGUUGGAAAAACCUUCUCAGUGCAGAAGUUCACUCUGGACUGGGCAGAGGGUUUGGAGAACCAAGACCUCCAUCUGGUGGUCCUGCUUUCAUUCAGGGAGCUGAACCUGAUCAGAGGUGAGGGCUUCAGUCUUCUGAGUCUGCUCCAUGUUUUCCAUCCAACACUAGAGAAGGUCACAGCAGAGACGCUGGCUGUCUGUAAACUUCUGUUCAUCUUUGACGGUCUGGAUGAAAGCAGACUGUCUCUGGAUUUCACAGACUCUGAGGUCCUGUCUGACGUCACACAGACGUCUUCACUGAACGUUCUGUUAACAAACCUCUUCAAGGGGAACCUGCUCCCCUCAGCUCUCAUCUGGAUAACUUCUCGACCUGCAGCAGCCAAUCAGAUCCCUCCUUCACGUGUGGACAGGGUAACAGAAGUACGAGGCUUCACUGACGCCCAGAAGGACGAGUACUUCAGGAAGAAGUUCAGAGAUGAAGAUCUGUCCAGAAGAAUCAUCUCACACAUCAAGUCCUCCAGGAGCCUCCACAUCAUGUGUCAGAUCCCGGUCUUCUGCUGGAUCACUGCAACAGUUCUGGAGGACAUGAUGAGCAGAGAGCAGAGAGGAGAGCUGCCCAAGACCCUGACUGACAUGUACUCACACUUCCUGCUGGUCCAGACUAAGAGGAAGAAGCAGAAGUAUGAAGGAGGACAGAAGAGAAGUUCACAGAAACUCACAAAAGCUGACAGAAAAGUCCUCCUGAAGCUGGGGAGGCUGGCCUUUGAACAUCUGGAGAAAGGAGACAUCAUGUUCUACCAAGAAGACCUGGAGCGGUGUGGUCUGGAUGUCUCAGAGGCCUCGGUGUACUCAGGAGUUUGUACAGAGAUCUUCAGAAGAGAGAGUGUGAUCUUCCAGAAAACUGUUUACUGUUUCGUUCAUCUGAGCGUUCAGGAGUUUCUGGCUGCAGUCUACAUGAUCCACAGUUUCACAAUCAGGAACACAGAAGCUCUGGAGACUUUCCUAAGAGGCAACGAAGAUGACAAAAGGUUUUCUUAUUCUUUUAAAAACCUGGAUGACUGUUUCUCAUCUCUGAAUAUCUUCCUGAAGAGAGUCAUGAUAAAAUCCCUUCUCAGUAAAAACGGUCACCUGGACCUGUUUGUUCGCUUCCUUCAUGGACUCUCUCUGGAGUCAAACCAGAGACUCUUAGGAGGUCUGCUGGGUCACACAGACAACAGUCCAGAAAUGAUCCAAAGAGUCAUCAAGAACCUGAAGGAGAUGAACAGUAAAGAUAUCUCUCCUGACAGAAGCAUCAACAUCUUCCACUGUCUGAUGGAGAUGAACGAUCUGUCAGUUCAUCAGGAGAUCCAAGAGUUCCUGAAGUCAGAGAACAGAUCAGAGAAGGAACUCUCAGUGUUCCACUGCUCUGCUCUGGCCUACAUGCUGCAGAUGUCAGAGGAGGUUCUGGAUGAGUUGAACUUAGAGAACUAUAGAACAUCAGACCAGGGACGACAGAGACUGAUCCCAGCUGUGAGGAACUGCAGAAAGGCUGAGUAAGUCCAGGUUUUAUUCUCAGAAUAGUGUAAAUGAUCCCUGUAGUUCUUCUAAUGUCCACGUUACUGAUGAUGUUCUUCUUCAAAUAGAAAUCCACUCAAAUAUCAGGGAGGGGGUUUCUUUAGCAAAAACAUGAUCCUGGUGUCUAAAGUCCUGUUAGCCCAGGAUGAGGUCUACCUGUGGACCCCUGAGAACUUGUCCUGAUUGUGGAGGACCUCUUUGUUUUUAAUCGUGUCUGUAAUGAAUAAAGUGGAACUUUGAGGACAAAUCAGCGACCAUAUCUGAGGACACACAGAGGUCUUCUGAUGAUGGUAUCAGUCCAGAUCAACAUCUCAGUCAGUUGUGGUGAACUUGAGUUUGAAGAAGGUGUCUGCAGCUUCUUCCUGCUGGUUUUCAGGUUGGAAAUGAUGAAUCUGUUGUAAAUGAGGGUGUUGACAGCAUUGAUGGUGAAAAUAGAACUGGAUCAUUUUCUACACAGUGGCAGAACUGUCUCUGUACCAUCAUGUUCAUCAUUCAAUAUUCAUCAUCAAUACAACCAUGAAAACUAACAUCAUUUUCCACCACUCACUGGAGAUUAUCUGCUGGACUAGAACAUAUGAAUGAUGAGAACACAGGAGGUAUUUGGACAGCAGCUCCAUGUGUCUGAAAACAACGGUGGUCUCUCUCUAUCUCCCCCCUCUCUCUCUCUCUGUCUCUCUGUCUCUCUGUCUCUCUCUCUCUCUGUCUCUCUCUCUCUCUCUCUCUCUCUCUCUCUCUCUCUCUCUCUCUCUCUCUCUCUCUCUCUCUCUCUCUCUCUCUCUCCGCAGUCACAUUUCUCCCACUCGGCUGCACGCCUCUGUUUCAGAUGUUGAUGUAAAUUGGUCAGACUGCUGCCUUCUGCUGAAACAGCCUUUAAACAAACACUGCAGCAGACUGGGGUUUGAUCCAGGUCUGACUCUGAGAGACUGAACCAGGUCUAAAGGACUAUAAACAGCAUGGCUGUCAUUGAAUUAAUGCAGGUACCCAUAUUGAUCCUCCGUGUUGAUAUGAUCAGACUCAUUAUUGAUACCUCACUUCAUGAUUUAGUGCAAACAUUUAAAAAAGUGAAGAAAACACAUUCAAAGAUGAAUCUCUUUUAUUUCCCCUGACUCCAAAUGUUUCUUUCUGUUUGAAACACAAACUAUAAAAAUUCAAUCUGUUAUUUUUAUAGGAGUCAUGAGAACGUACGCCCCCUAGAGUUCAAAUAACCUCAACCCUGAAUUUGACCACAGCUCCUCAGGUUUAACUUUGUUUUUAUCGUUUAACUAUCAUGAAGUAUUGGACGGUAAUGUGCAGAGAGAGAGAGGGAGAGGGAGAGAGAGAGAGAGAGAGAGAGAGAGAGAGAGAGAGAGAGAGAGAGAGAUGACCAGAUCCCAAAGACAGAGGUUCAGUGGGUCUUUGUUUCUGUCUCUUAAAGGUCUCUCUGGAUCCAUCAGGUUUUAUAAACUUGUUUCUGCUGCUGAAGGGAAUGUUACAUGGAGAAAAAACUUUCAUUGUGAAAACAAAGAAAUCUUCAACUCUUCAAAUGUUCAGAGUCAAACCAGCUCUAACCUGCUAAAAAAACGAUGUUAUCUGAACCAAUCAGAGAAGAAGGAGCUGCUGUGAUUUAGUGAGUCGUCCUCUGAUUGGUCAACAGUCAGUGUCUAUGGACAGACUUACAUUACAGCAGGAUGUCAACAUUAAACACUGAGAGGAGCACUGAUCCUCCAAGAGGUACUUUGGAUACUAACCAAUCACAUACCAGGACCAAAAACCUGGUUCUCAGUCCCCUUCUCCAACCAGAACUCAAGAAUUCACUCAGUCAUAAUGAUCCAGCUGCACUAACAUGAAGACAACACUGUUAGAGAACAAAAUGACUAAAAUAAGUCAUGGAGUCAUUUGUCUUGAACAUCUGAACAGUUUUUUUUUCUUCUAAACUUUGACUUCCUGUCUUCUCUCAUGGCUGUGGUCCUGAUAUUAGUAUCUGUCUGGUUAAAAACAGGCCGUCUGUCAAACCAAAGAUCAUGUUUGUUUUUGGUGAAGAGAAACAUCAAAUUACCCUUUAAUGAAAUAUUGUUGGAUAUUUAUGUUGUUACAGACUUUGGUUCUGUGGACUCUCAGAGACUCACUGUGAAGUUGUGGCCUCAGCUCUGAAGUCCAACCCCUCCCAUCUGAGACAUCUGGACCUGAGUAACAACAAUCUGCAGGAUUCAGGAGUGAAGCUGCUGUGUGACUCUCUGCAGAGUCCAAACUGUAAACUGGAGACUCUGAAGUAAGUUUAGUCUUUGUCUGUUUCUGUUGUAGAUUUUUAUGUUUAUUCAGUUUUUUUUAACCCAAUUCAAAUGUUCAUAGAAUUCUUUGAUAUUUCCAGAACUUUCUUCUUUCUCACAUAAAUUCAUAGUUUUUUAUUGAAUCAUCAGUCAGAUACAGAUGGAGGAAAACUGUGAGUUAUUUUGUUGAUUGAAUGUUAAUGAUUUUUUAUAAAUGGUUCAGAUGAUCACUGCAGUGAUGUUGACGGGUUUACUUCCUCGGUCUCUAAAUCAGUCAAAUGUUCAAGGAUGCAGUGAACUCACUAUCCAUGCAGCUCAGGAACACAGCUCAUCUUUUUCAUACAGGAAACAUUGUCAACAACAAAGGUGUGUUAAAGUCCCAUCAGUCAGCAGCUUCAGUCACAAACCUCGCUGUCAGAGCUCCGUCAUUUCAACCCUCUGUAUAACUCCUCAGCACAGACCAGACCCUGUGAGCACAUCCUCACAACAUGCUGCUUUAGUUACAACAACAACAACAAUCAGCUGUUAGCAGAGAUUUCAUCCAAACAGUCCAGGAUACAAACUUUGAAGUGGUUGGAAAAUUCAGGUGUCCACCGCUCAUGCAGAGUUGACUCAUGUUGAUGAUGUUUUCAUGUCUAGAGGACAUGCUGGAGUGAAUUCAACCAAACCUCCUGAGACAAAGACAGCGGUGGCAGACAUUAGAUCAGGCUUCAUGACGUCUGUGCGUCCCUUUAUUCAACCAGAUCAGCAGUCCCAGAGUUUUCCCUCAUCUCUUUAGAUUUGAUGGUUUUUGUGAUUUUGAUGUUUCCACACAAACUUAAAAUAAAAUUUUAGAUUUUACAUUUUGAACAUAUUCAUGAGUUAAUAUUCAUGAAUUACAACCAUAUCAUACUGAUAUCAGACAGGAGUGUGACAGGUGUUUAUUAGUCUUUUUGACACAUUACAAUCAUGAGGAUAAAGUCAUGGACUAAACUUGGGCUCCCAGUUUCCUUGUUGUUGUUGUUGUUUCUUCAGCUAGCAUCAUUGUUUUCAUCUCAGUUAUUAAAGUAAUAAUGAUGCUUCAUAAAUUCAGAGUCACAAAAAAACACCAAACAAACCAAAUCUGAACAUGAGGUUUGAGUUUUCAUGUGGAGGAAAUGAGAAAGAUCUGCUCUGACAGUUAGAAACACAGACACCUGAAUUUACACUGACAGACACACAAAUACAGACAGAGAGACACACAGACAGAGACACUGACAGACACACAAAUACAGACAGUGAGACACAGAUUCAGAUUCAGAUUCAGAUUCCUUUAUUAACCAUUGUGUAAAACACAUAGGAAUUUGCUUUGGCAAUAGCAUGAGUGUGUUCGGAUGUUUUUUCACAGAUAACAUAAAACACAAACAACACAGUGCAGAAAAAUGGAUAAAUAUAAAGUGCAGUAGGAUCAAUAGUGCAAAUGUUGUUGAGUCAUUACAGUUUCAGAGUUUCAGAGUCAUUUCAAGUGACAAAGUCCCUAGUGGGUGGGGAGAGGAGGGAGGCCAGACUCAUUGAGCAGCCUGGCAGCAGAGGGGAAAAAACUGAGUCUAUGGCGUGCUGUGGUGGCCUUCAGCAGCCGCAUCCUUCUCCCAGAGGGGAGCAGGGAGAGGAGACUGGCCAGGGUGGGAGGGGUCGGCUAUGAUUUUUCUUGCCCUCCUCAGCGCCCUGGAGUUGUGCAGGGACUUGAGGGAGGGCAGCGGGCGGCCAAUCACCCUCUCCGCUGAACGAAUCACCCUCUGCAGCUUGAUAAGGUCUUUUGCAGCUGCAGCGGGGAACCAGGUCCAUCUUCAACAAGUGGGUGAGGAUGGACUCAAUGAUGGCCGUGUAAAACUGAGUCAUCAUGGUCCUUGAUAGUCUGUACUUCCUCAGCUGCCUUAGGAAAAACAGUCUCUGCUGGGCCUUUUUCAAAAGGGACAUGAUGUUCAUGACACACAAAUACAGACAGUGAGACACAGACAGAGACACAGACACAGACACACAAACACAGACACACAAACACAGACACACACAGAGAUUUUCCUCUUCGUCUCUUUGCUGUGAUGACUGAAGUCACAAAAACAAAGUUUUCUUCGUCACUUUUAUGAUUGAACCAAAAAAGUUAAAGAGCCAAACUCUCAGAUGGCUCAUAUGGUUUGAAAGGUUCCUGCAGCAAAACCCGAUUAGAGAGUGGACUAAAUGAAAUGAAAUCAGCUGACCUGUCUCAUCAGAGUCUCAUCCAUUCUCUGUUUGGCAGAGCGCUGAUGUUACAGUCUGAGAGCACAUUCAGGUUCAGCUUCACAUGGGCUGGAUCUGCUCAAUACAAACUCUUGAGACCAGCCUGGUUGAGGGAGGUGGGCUCAGUGUCCUGGGUGACUCUCUCUGAGCUCUUCUUGGUUGAGAGUAUUUCUGGUUUGUCUCUGACUUCCAUGAACUCAGAUCUGGAGGAUUGCUGGCUGGUCCGGUCCAGUUCUGACAGUAGAGACAACACAGUCUGUUAUUCUGGGUUGAGCGUUCUUGUUGAAGAUCAGUGUACAGUGAGGGAUGAAGGCAGACAAAGAUCCUCCUGUUUCCUCCAUGUCACAGUUCAAGUUCAUUUUGAAGACUUUGAUUGAUCCUAGCGCUGAAGAGGAACAGGAAACGUGGAGUAGAGAGUGAGGGAGGACUUGCAGCAAAGGAUCGUGGGAGUCCAACCAGCAACUGCUGCAACAAGGACUCCACCUUCUGAUCACCUGAACCUCUAAUCCAAACCAGUGCUCCAUCACAUUUGAUGUCUUGUCUGUUAUUUUACAUGGAGGGUCAGAGCAGACCAGAUCAUGAGCUCUGACAGACUGGAUCUGGUCCAAAGGUCUCCUGUUGGAGUUCUCUAAGCUCCAUAUUUUAAACCUGAACACCUGAAGUUUGAUUAUUAAUUAUUUUUAUCUUCAUUCUCUUUCCUUUUUUCAGACUGUUGGACUGCAGUUUGUCAGAGAUCAGCUGUUCUUCUCUGGCCUCAGCUCUGGAGUCCAACCCCUCCCAUCUGAGACAUCUGAACCUGAGUUACAAUCAGCUGAAGGAUUCAGGAGUGAAGCUGCUGUGUGACUCUCUGCAGAGUCCAAACUGUAAACUGGAGAUUUUGAGGUCAGACUUUUUUCCUCCAUUCAAACAUGAUCAUGAUUUGUUUGUGAUGAUGACACUAAACUGCUGACUCAGCACUGAAAUACUGACCCAGACUGAACACCUUCAGUCCAGAGUAGAUUUUCUGCAUCAGUGGAUUAUUUGAUUGACUCCAGUUCGAUCACUGCUGAGCUCCAGUGAAUUAAAACCUGAACCCAAGAAGAAAACUCUUUGUAGAGUUCACAGUGAGAAGCUCAUUCAGACAGAAAACAGAAGCAGGGGGAGAUUUGUCAGACGAGAACCAUUCAAACUUUUGUUCAGGACAAGAUCAGGGACUCGAAAAAACUCAGAGUUUAGUUUCUGACACUGAUGAAAGUCCAGCUCUGUUACUGUGAAUUUGUUUUUGAAUCUUUGUGUGAAAAUCUGAAUUUAAUGGUUUAUCUGCACUUUUCUGAACCCUUGCUGUGUUUAGACUGAAAUAUUUUCCUCUCAAAGACGUGAUAUUUUUGGUUCAGCAAAGUGAAAAUAUUCUGAACAUCCUUUAUUUCCCAUCCGUCCUGAAGUAGCUGACAUUUUCUGAAAAUAUUGAUCUGCAUCUACAAUCAGUAAAAAAGUCUCUGAGUUUUUUAUUUCACUUUUUAAUGUGUUUUUGAAUUCACUGUUUCAAACUGACUUCCUGUUUGGUUCAGCUCUUUGGAGCGUCACUUUUCUUUGAUUCAUACUUUCCAAACCUUUCCCCUGAACUCCACAGAUUUAAGACAUCAGGUUUCAAAGUGGAUCAUUUUUCUCUAAAAUCUCAUUAUUUCCUCUUUAUUUAGGUUGAAUAACUGCAGUUUGACAAAGAUCAGCUGUUCUUCUCUGGUCUCAGCUCUGAAGUCCAACCCCUCCCAUCUGAAAGAUCUGUGGCUGUAUGGAAACAAUCUGCAGGAUUCAGACGUGAAGCUGCUGCGUGAUCUUCAGAAGAGUCCAGACUACAGACUGGAGAAGCUGAUGUCAGUAUAGAGUUGGAGUUAGUCUGUGCUGAUCUCUCCUGUUCCUCUCCACACAGUAUCACAGCAGAUAUUCAGUAUUUCCUGCUGACUCUUCGACCCUCUCAGAGGAUUCUUUCUUUAGUGAAGCUGUGAGAACAGAAAUCAUCAAACCAGGAGUGUAAGAGUGUCAGUGAUGAAAAAAGUGUCUCCUCGUCUCUAUAUUUCAGAUCAAAUGUAGAAAUGAGACAUAAUGAAAUAGAAAUGUUCAGUUUCUGCUCUGAAGUCCAGUUUAUAGUUCUCUGUAUUCAACACAGACUUUAUUUCUCUGCUAACUUGUUGAUUUUGAGCUCUAAGUUUGAAAACAGACAGCUGUUCUUUAUACUUGUUAUUUUCACAGCAGGUUUGUUCGAUCAGCUUUAACACAUUUGACAGGAAUGAUUUCUUUAUUUUGAUGAUGUUGGUUUAUUUGUGAUGAAACCUGCUGCUUUACACCAUCACUUCUGGUCUGAGCAGGACUGAGACCUGCUGGUCUGUAAACUGGAUGUUCUUCAGUCCAGCUGAUGAAGUGAGUCUCAGAGUGGAAACACUGAUCGUCUUUUUUUCUCUCCUCAGAUGGAGUUAACAUCAGUCAGAGUGAUUAAGAAGAGGAUCAUCUGUUUCCUGACGAUCAGAGAGGUGGAGGCAGCAGCAGUGAGGGUGAGGUGAGUCUCUGACUGAGAGACUGACUGACCAAUCACAGCGGGCGGAGAGGACUCUGGGAGCUGCACUUUGACCUGCUCUGAGAUCAGCUCAGGACCUGGACUCUGGAUAUUUGAUCUUUUCCCUCAUAUUCUGGGAUCAAACAGUCUGAACAGGUUUGUUUUGUUGAUGGAAACAUGAUCAUAAAUUUACACUUUGAUUGGAUUACUUUGUUUUUACCAUGAUGCAGCGCCACCCAGUGGAACUAUAAAGAGGUGGAGUUGAUUUAUUCCCCCAUAUUUCUGCAGCAGGAGUUGAUACCAUGUGUGAGAGUAGAUCAGUCAGAAGUUCUGAUUAAACCCAAAGGUUUUUUCUUUCCUUUGCACCAUUAGAGACCGAAUAUAAACUGAAGGGAGAGGAAGAGGAGUGAGGAGAGAUGGAGGUGAAGGGAGGAGGAGGACAGGGUUUGGGGUUUUAACAAAAAUCUGAAGCUUUAUUCUUUCACUUGAUUAUUUUUAUUCAUCCGUUUUCUUCUUCAGUUUCUGAAAUGAUUGUAAAUAUUUACUGGAGGUAUAUUGACCUUAUUUUCUAUUAUUAGACAUUAUUUUCUUUUUUCUUUCCAUGUUUUUGUUCUCAUAUCAUCUUUGUGCUCAUCAAUAAUCGAUUCCCUCCUGUUUGGAUGAACAAACACAAUUAUUAAACCAUAAAUGAGACCUGAGAGUAAAAUGUGUGAAAUAUAAUCAGUCAAAGGAAAGAUUCUUGAACAAAAACAAAAACAUUAUUUUUACUUUAUUAUGAUGGAGAAGUUUUCCUCUGACAGACAAAAAUAACCGUAUUGACUGGAGUCUGGAAAAAGUGAGAUCAGCAUCUAUUCAGGGUGAAGUCAUUAACGUGGUCGAUGCUGUUUUAUAAACUCAGUGUUGUUGAUUACAAUCUCAGCUUCAUAAAUUGAUGCUACAGCGGAGUGACUUCCUGUAAAAUCCACUGGCUUUGUGAGACCGUCAGCUUUCAGGAGAUCAGUUUGUGUUUCUGAGACACUCCAAAGCUUUUCUAUCCCACAGAGAAGAUCGGUGUGUUUUCAGAGACCUUCCUGAUCCCAUCCCUCCAGAAUGAAAAUAAUCUGAUGGUUUAUGGAUUCAUUUCAGUAACAAAGUGUCAUUUCUGUUGUUAGCCAAUCAGAGGCUGUAUCUGCCAUCAGCUGACCUGUAAAGAUCCAAUCAGAAGUCAGAACAGCUCAUGUCACAGUCUGCUCACACUACAGAAACAUUAAACAUAGAACUAUUGUGAACAGAUCUGUCCUGUUCAGCUUAUCUAGUAUCAAUAGAUCUAUGCUCUGUCUGUGUAACACUAUGUUGGUUCUUCAUUUACACCAGAUCAUUUUUGAUUUCAUUUCACUGUAACAAUGUCAUUUAAAGAUAAUAAAAACUUUAUUUAAACCAAAACAUGUUCAAAACAUCAACUCAGCUUGUUUCAGUCACUGUGUCCAAUUGAUUAUUAUUAUUUUUCAUUCAAACAAAAACUAGAUUUGGUCUUAAAAAAGUCCUCAAAGUGAGUCUGAAAAGUGGAGGAAGGUUUUAUCAUCAGGGUGCUCCUAUAUUCAGGUCAAUACGGUCGUGGAUCAUAGAGACUCAAAGUCUUGAUUCAGCUGAGGCUGGAGGACGCUGCGUGAAGGAAAGUCGGUGUGUUUAGUUGGUCUUAGUUUUUAUUAAACAGGAACUUUGAUUUGAUCGUCUUUUCUUGGAAAUCAAACUUC
rnacentral:lncRNA from 1 species